rnacentral:lncRNA from 1 species
UUCAAUAGUACCUCCUACUGAAAAAAUACCCAAUGGAGUACCAAAUUCUUCUACGCCUCCCUCUCUUUUAGUUAAUGGCCUCAAGAUUUCCACUGGAAUGUUAACAAAAUUUCCCGCGAGUGUUCUUGGCAAUUUUUCUAAUGGUACAUACGACUGCAGAAUUAACAGUUUGUCCAGUUCUUGAUAUGUUUGGAUGCGCCCACAAGCUUGCAACCAUGGUUUAAUCCAAUUCUGUCGAUGCUUCCUUUUAAGAUUACAUUCUUGCUCCUCUCCAAGUAAGUUCCUUCGUUGCGCUCU